CGGCGCCGGUAGCCCUGAGUGCGGCGUGGGAAGCGCCUCGCCCCGCGACGAGGACUCAGUGCUGCGCCGUGAGCUUCUGUUGACCUGGGGCGGUUUGUUUAUUUCAGCUAUCCACGUGUUUGAAAAGCAUCGAUCCUGAGUUACUUCUGGAUUGGAAUGCAGCUGAUGCUGUGAGGGGACAAGUCUUCUAAAGAGGCCGAGGAAUAAGAACUGCUCCUUCCCCAGUCCUUACAGCACUGCUCCCCACACUCGUGGGAAACAGCUCCUGCCGAGCGGUUCUCUCCUCUGCACUGCCCUCCUACCAACACACGUGCUGUGACUUUACAUCCCACUGCCAGUCCUCCAGCUUUAAUGCAGCUUCUAUUUAGCUCUAGCUACUUCACAGGGGAGAAAGAGUGUUAAAAAAACCCAAAAAGUGCAAGCCGGGCCCUGUAUAAAUAAUUAACAUCGGUUUAACAGCAUUCAUGAUUUUACUAUUAAUGUGCGCCUUGCUGCAGCUGCCCAGGCCCAGCAGUGAGAGCGCCCUGCUGGAGGGCAGCCCGAGUCAUCCCCACGCCCUCCUGCUGGGCAGGUCACCACUGCCUGGAAAUCCUCUGUCAGUCCAUUCUGAAACCCCACAUAGCUUCCAGCUGGCUCACAAACCUCUUCAGCAAAACCUCAACGAGAACAAUUCCCCUCUGAUAACACUGGGGAGAGCAAAAGAAACAAAAAGGUCACCACUUCCUUAAAAUCAUUUCUCUUCCACUGCUUUACUGGAUGUGGGCACCAGCCAAGCCCUCACCAAACC
rnacentral:lncRNA from 1 species